rnacentral:rRNA from 1 species
UACGUAGGGGCCAAGCGUUGUCCGGAGUUACUGGGCGUAAAGCGUGCGCAGGCGGCUCGUUGCGCCCGACGUGAAAGCCCCCGGCUCAACCGGGGAGGGUCGUCGGGGACGGGCGAGCUUGAGGGUGUCAGGGGCUGGUGGAACUCCCGGUGUAGUGGUGAAAUGCGUAGAGAUCGGGAAGAACACCCGUGGCGAAGGCGGCCAAGCUGGGACAC